ensembl:snoRNA SNORD46 small nucleolar RNA SNORD46
UGUGUGGAUGAUGAAAUUAUGACCUUAGGUAGGUUUGUUUUGGCCGUUUUGGCUAAUGCUGUGGACCUGCCAAUGCUAGGAUUUGUCAUAGUUACACUGACACAUU